AAUGUAUAUCUAAUUGUACCCUUCUACUUCGUACAGCUCUUACAAAAUUGGUGAACGACCGACAGGAUUUGUUUGGUGGUUUGGCCUAUUCAGUAGAUAAUUUUGACCGGAUGGUCAUCUGGUCAAGUGCCGUAAAUAAUUACUUUUUUUGAUUUAACAAUGUUGUGUUUUCAGUUAAAUUACUGUGGGCUGCAGAGGACCAAGGCAAGGUGGAGGCUGUCGUUGGACCGUAUAAAUUAUAUGACACGUCUUUUCAUACGAUAAAAGGCAACGGCUGUCUGUCUGAUGAAGAGCCCAUUCACCAACUCUCUGCUGUGGUAGCUGGGAGUCUGCUUUUGGGAAAAUUUCAGCCUGUUAGAAAGAGGAAAUUCCCUGUUGAAAAAAAGUGGAUUUGUCCUGUCCUGUAUGCGCUCAUUGGAUUUUAGUGAUUGUCCACAUUUCUGAGAGAACACUGGUGAUCAUCGAUCCCUUGAGUAACGAGGACAAAUAUGAGCAAAAUCUUGCGGAAUUGGAGGAACUUCUUGAGGUUGGCGGGCCGUGAGUUCCAAAUAGAAACUUGGACUACCAAAACUGUGGCCCAUAACAAGCAGCAGAACAACAGUAGCUGUGGGGUUUUCACAUUAAAGUUUGCGGAAGAGUAUAUGGCCAAUGGAGAUCUCAGGCACAACCAGACCCACGUUCCCGAAGUUCUGAAGGCUCGAGGAGAUAUAGCCUGUGCCCUCCUACAGGCUGGGAGUCUGAGAUGUCUAUUUAAAUAAAAAA